GAUGAAGAACGUAGCGAAAUGCGAUAAGUAAUGUGAAUUGCAGAAUUCAGUGAAUCAUCGAAUCUUUGAACGCACAUUGCGCCCGCCAGUAUUCUGGCGGGCAUGCCUGUUCGAGCGUCAUUUCAACCAUCAAGCCCCCGGCUUGUGUUGGGGACCUGCGGCUGCCGCAGGCCCUGAAAAGCAGUGGCGGGCUCGCUUUCACACCGAGCGUAGUAGCAUACAUCUCGCUCUGGGCGUGCUGCGGGUUCCGGCCGUUAAACCACCUUCAUAACCCAAGGUUGACCUCGGAUCAGGUAGGAAGACCCGCUGAACUUAAGCAUAUCAAUAAGCGGAGGA
rnacentral:misc_RNA from 1 species